rnacentral:rRNA from 1 species
CUCCUAAAGGUUAGCGGCGGACGGGUGAGUAACACGUGGGAACAUGCCCUUCGGUUCGGAAUAACUCAGGGAAACUUGAGCUAGUACCGGAUACGUCCGUAAGGAGAAAGAUUUAUCGCCGAAGGAUUGGCCCGCGUCCGAUUAGCUAGUUGGUGAGGUAACGGCUCACCAAGGCGACGAUCGGUAGCUGGUCUGAGAGGAUGAUCAGCCUCACUGGGACUGAGACACGGCCCAGACUCCUACGGGAGGCAGCAGUGGGGAAUAUUGGACAAUGGGCGCAAGCCUGAUCCAGCCAUGCCGCGUGGGUGAUGAAGGCCCUAGGG